CUAUGAUGUACAGAGGCCUGGUCCGGGGAGAGGAGUGUUACAAAAGUGCCUGCCUUCAACCCAUUUACGGUUUAUGGAGACAGAAAAGUCAUGAGACUUCCAUUUCUGAAGGGGUCCUGUUCCAUAUCCUCAAGAAGGGAGUGCUGCACAGAGAGGCCAUGAGGAAUCUAAGCAGACAGGCCUUGCUGGGUUUCCCCACUCAGUCUGUUAAUAUUAGAUCAUACCUUUUUGUCCAGUCACAUUUUUACAUGGUUGUCAAUUAUGCCUGUCCAGUAAAGUCUCCAUAAAAGGCCCAAGAAGACAGAGUUGGAGUUCC
rnacentral:lncRNA from 1 species